rnacentral:sRNA from 1 species
AAGUCGGCAGUUACAAUCUGUUAGGUGAUCAUCAUGGUCCUAUUAAAGACUUGGAACUGAACAGAACAAGAUCCCUUAACAGAUUAGAUCAAAGUGGAAGGACAUAUAAAGACAUAGGGUACAGACUCCCAGACAACAAUGAAAUGCAUAGGAAACUAAAAGAAGCUCAGGACCAGAUCAAAAGCUUGGACAUUCUCCUCACGGGGGCCAACAAACAAAAGGAUAUGUUUGGAAACAAAAUGAUAAAGUCUUGGAACAGAAGUUGUCUUCAGGUGAACAAAAUGAUAAAGUCUUGGAACAGAAGUUGUCUUCAU